rnacentral:pre_miRNA from 1 species
CUUUUAGUAUAAGUAUGCCCCCUGCAAUAUCUGGGACAUACUUAUGCUAAAA